AGGACGAACGCUGGCGGCGUGCUUAACACAUGCAAGUCAAGGGGGGCCAGCAAUGGUCAACCGGCGAACGGGUGCGUAACACGUGAGCAAUCUACCUUUUUGUGGGGGAUAGCCGGCCCAACGGCCGGGUAAUACCGCAUACGAUCUUCGAGAGGCAUUUCUUGAAGAUGAAGCCUUCGGGGCAGAAAGAGGAGCUCGCGGCCUAUCAGCUAGUUGGUGAGGUAAUGGCUCACCAAGGCAAUGACGGGUA
rnacentral:rRNA from 1 species